CGGGCCUCUCGCGUCAGGAUAUGCCCAGGUGGGAUUAGCUAGUUGGUGAGGUAAGGGCUCACCAAGGCGACGAUCCCUAGCUGGUCUGAGAGGAUGAUCAGCCACACUGGAACUGAGACACGGUCCAGACUCCUACGGGAGGCAGCAGUGGGGAAUAUUGCACAAUGGGCGCAAGCCUGAUGCAGCCAUGCCGCGUGUGUGAAGAAGGCCUUCGGGUUGUAAAGCACUUUCAGUCGUGAGGAAGGUGGUAGUGUUAAUAGCACUAUCAUUUGACGUUAGCGACAGAAGAAGCACCGGCUAACUCCGUGCCAGCAGCCGCGGUAAUACGGAGGGUGCGAGCGUUAAUCGGAAUUACUGGGCGUAAAGCGCAUGCAGGUGGUUUGUUAAGUCAGAUGUGAAAGCCCGGGGCUCAACCUCGGAACUGCAUUUGAAACUGGCAGACUAGAGUACUGUAGAGGGGGGUAGAAUUUCAGGUGUAGCGGUGAAAUGCGUAGAGAUCUGAAGGAAUACCGGUGGCGAAGGCGGCCCCCUGGACAGAUACUGACACUCAGAUGCGAAAGCGUGGGGAGCAAACAGGAUUAGAUACCCUGGUAGUCCACGCUGUAAACGAUGUCUACUUGGAGGUUGUGGCCUUGAGCCGUGGCUUUCGGAGCUAACGCGUUAAGUAGACCGCCUGGGGAGUACGGUCGCAAGAUUAAAACUCAAAUGAAUUGACGGGGGCCCGCACAAGCGGUGGAGCAUGUGGUUUAAUUCGAUGCAACGCGAAGAACCUUACCUACUCUUGACAUCCAGAGAAUCUAGCGGAGACGCUGGAGUGCCUUCGGGAACUCUGAGACAGGUGCUGCAUGGCUGUCGUCAGCUCGUGUUGUGAAAUGUUGGGUUAAGUCCCGCAACGAGCGCAACCCUUAUCCUUGUUUGCCAGCGAGUAAUGUCGGGAACUCCAGGGAGACUGCCGGUGAUAAACCGGAGGAAGGUGGGGACGACGUCAAGUCAUCAUGGCCCUUACGAGUAGGGCUACACACGUGCUACAAUGGCGCAUACAGAGGGCGGCCAACUUGCGAAAGUGAGCGAAUCCCAAAAAGUGCGUCGUAGUCCGGAUUGGAGUCUGCAACUCGACUCCAUGAAGUCGGAAUCGCUAGUAAUCGUGGAUCAGAAUGCCACGGUGAAUACGUUCCCGGGCCUUGUACACACCGCCCGUCACACCAUGGGAGUGGGCUGCAAAAGAAGUGGGUAGUUUAACCUUCGGGAGGACGCUCACCACUUUGUGGUUCAUGACUGGGGUGAAGUCGUAACAAGGUAGCGCUAGGGGAACCUGGCGCUGGAUCACC
rnacentral:rRNA from 1 species